UACGGGGGGGGCAAGCGUUGUUCGGAAUUACUGGGCGUAAAGGGCGCGUAGGUGCGGCGAGCAAGGUCGCGGUGAAAGCCCGGGGCUCAACCCCGGGUCGGCCGUGGCAACUACUGGGCUGGAGCACUGUAGGGGCGGGUGGAAUUCCGGGUGUAGCGGUGGAAUGCGUAGAGAUCCGGAAGAACACCGGUGGCGAGGCGGCCCGCUGGGCAGUUGCUGACACUGAGGCGCGACAGCGUGGGGAGCAAACAGG
rnacentral:rRNA from 1 species